rnacentral:rRNA from 1 species
GACGAACGCUGGCGGCGUGCUUAACACAUGCAAGUCGAACGGAAAGGCCCUGCUUUUGUGGGGUGCUCGAGUGGCGAACGGGUGAGUAACACGUGAGUAACCUGCCCUUGACUUUGGGAUAACUUCAGGAAACUGGGGCUAAUACCGGAUAGGAGCUCCUGCUGCAUGGUGGGGGUUGGAAAGUUUCGGCGGUUGGGGAUGGACUCGCGGCUUAUCAGCUUGUUGGUGGGGUAGUGGCUUACCAAGGCUUUGACGGGUAGCCGGCCUGAGAGGGUGACCGGACACAUUGGGACUGAGAUACGGCCCAGACUCCUACGGGAGGCAGCAGUGGGGAAUAUUGCACAAUGGGCGGAAGCAUGAUGCAGCAACGCAGCGUGCGGGAUGACGGCCUUCGGGUUGUAAACCGCUUUCGCCUGUGACGAAGCGUGAGUGACGGUAAUGGGUAAAGAAGCACCGGCUAACUACGUG